UACGGGGGGGGGCAAGCGUUGUUCGGAAUUACUGGGCGUAAAGGGUGCGUAGGCGGCUUUCUAAGUUGGAUGUGAAAACUCUGGGCUCAACCCCAGAGCCUGCAUCCAAAACUGGAGAGCUAGGGGUUCUGGAGGGGAAAGGCGGAGUUCCUGGAUGUAGCGGUGAAGUGACGUAGAUAUCAGGAGGAACACCGGUGGCGAAGGCGGCUUCUGGACAGAUACCGACGCUGAGGCACGAAAGCUAGGGGAGCAAACAGG
rnacentral:rRNA from 1 species